CUUGGCUUGGUCAUGCUGCUUAAACCGUGCAUGAGUGAGAUGAGUGAAGUCAAAAUACCCACUGGUGACAAAAUGUGGAUGGGACCCCCAUUAGCAGGAUCAGUUUGUCAAAUCAAUGCAUGGUCAGAGUUUUACCAAGGGCUUUAGGAUGACUUUGUAUGGGAUUUGGCUCACUGUUGAACUUAACUGGACUUACCUUAGAAACUGGUGCCCUCAAAGUGGCCUCAGGUUUGGACUCAGAAAACAUUACCAGUCUCCAGAUACAUUAAAUAAAGGCUUGAUUAAUCCUUCACCCUCCUCCCACUUCAUAAUUUAAAUGACUAAGAGAAGGUGAACAUCACAAGGAGAGAACCAUUUGAUGGAAGACAAGAAAAAGCAAGAAGAGACAAACAAGGAUACUGCACAGAAACCGGUCGUGCCAGACUCUGUUAAACCCAAUCCCAGCAUCCCUUCAAACCCCAUUCUGACCCUGAACCUGCCUGUACCCUGUCCUGCCUCCACCAGCAAUGGCAAGCGUAGCCCUUGUAAUUCCCUACAACAGCAGUUACCUCCAUUACAGCAGCCCAGUCCCCGAUAUGUGCCCAGAGAGAUUCCUCCACGCUUCCGACAGCAGGAGCAGAGGCAGCUACUGAAGAGGGGUCAACCUUUACCUACAGGCGCUCUGAAC
ensembl:lncRNA